CCUCCUUUGGAGCUUUACAGCUAACCCAGAACAAGGGUCCCAGGUCAGUACAUCACUCUCACAGCCCUUCAAAAGACUGGUAGAACAUCACUAGUGAGAACAGCCCUCAUUUAAUGCUGGCAAUAAGCUAAGACAUCUCACUACUGAUCCACACAAAUGCAUCCUAAUCACAGGAGGUCAACCAGCCUGCCAACCUAGCUCUUCAGGUGAUUCAAAUGAAGACAUCGGAAGAAAAGAGAUAGUAAGCAGCUGGCCUACCUUACUCCUUUGUUGACUAUAAGAAUAUGUCCUUGUGCUGCUUCAGGCCCCUUCUGUGGAGAGCUGUGAUCCCAGGAUUGAAGACAAGAAAAAUCUGCUGCCUAAAGGGAAGGAGCAAUCUCUGAAUUGUGUGCCUGCAAGAGAGCAGACCGAUAGUCAAGAGCUCUGUACUAGUAAGUGCCCAGGAGUCUGCUGCCACUGCAGGGCAUUGCUGCCUGCUGUACACCUGGUUAAGGCUUGAACUGCUGCCUGCUACACCUCUGAAAAGGAAUGGAAACAAACUUGGCAGUGGCCAUCUCCAGUGGUGCUUGUGGGUUUGCUUUGUGUUUAAUGCAGGCUCAUAUCAUGAGACCAGAAUGCAGACAUUAUCAGAGACAGUGUAGAUACUACUGCAGUUAGAUCAGCUACUUUUUUCAAAUUUCUCUAAUGUUUUAUAUUCUGACACAUGAAAUCGGCUUUUAGUUGCUCCCCUGCAAGGUCUGUUUACCUCUGCCCAGGAGAGAGGAAAAAAUGGAGACUGGAGCCUCUAAAGUGGUCUGAUAUCAGUCUGAGCUGAGGGACACAAACACACAGCAGGGAUGGCAAAAGAAUGAUCCUGGUUUUGUUACACAGGAAGGAUACAAGAACUUAAAUUGUACAAUAUGUAUAAUGCACUAAGUCCAAUAUCUUAGCAUCUGUAUUCAACAUCAUAACUGGAAUCUGUAAGAAAACUUAACAAUUGGAUUUAAAAUGAAUCCAUACCUCUGAAGUCACAUACAUACAAUCUACAUACCUUAAUACAUAAAUAGGAAGACUGCAUUUUGCAUUUAGGAUUAUAAAUCGUUCACUUGGAAGUGCUAGAAGUUAGUGGCAGAUAGAAAGCAAAACAAAGUUCAGAAAAUGUAGGACUCCAGGAUUAAUAUGCUUUAAAAUAUACCUGCUGUAGACUCUUGAGUUCGGCGUAUAUUGUUCACAUGAAAUAUUUUUAGUGGAAUGGGACAUUCCUCAAGAUAGUGAGAAAAUGAGGCAGUCAUAAGUAUAGACCAGAAUUCUUGUAUACAGAAAUUAAAUGAACUCAGCAAGACUGUGCUACAACUAUGGCUACACAGUCAUUUUAACAGCACGUGCAUUUGUGAGAAAGAAAAUUAAAUCUGAAGUUCUGCAUCAUUACAGCAAAUUUUGAUGACAAAUAAAGCAUCAGA